GGGCCCGUAGUUUAACGGUAAAACAGCAUCCUCCGAAGAUGAAGAUGCGGGUUCAACUCCCGUCGGGUCCACCA
rnacentral:tRNA from 1 species